rnacentral:rRNA from 1 species
GUGGGGAAUAUUGGACAAUGGGGGCAACCCUGAUCCAGCCAUGCCGCGUGUGUGAAGAAGGCCUUUUGGUUGUAAAGCACUUUAAGCAGGGAGGAGAGGCUAAUGGUUAAUACCCAUUAGAUUAGACGUUACCUGCAGAAUAAGCACCGGCUAACUCUGUGCCAGCAGCCGCGGUAAUACAGAGGGUGCGAGCGUUAAUCGGAAUUACUGGGCGUAAAGCGAGUGUAGGUGGCUCAUUAAGUCACAUGUGAAAUCCCCGGGCUUAACCUGGGAACUGCAUGUGAUACUGGUGGUGCUAGAAUAUGUGAGAGGGAAGUAGAAUUCCAGGUGUAGCGGUGAAAUGCGUAGAGAUCUGGAGGAAUACCGAUGGCGAAGGCAGCUUCCUGGCAUAAUAUUGACACUGAGAUUCGAAAGCGUGGGUAGCAA